rnacentral:rRNA from 1 species
UUAAGCGACUAAGCGUACACGGUGGAUGCCCUGGCAGUCAGAGGCGAUGAAGGACGUGCUAAUCUGCGAUAAGCGUCGGUAAGGUGAUAUGAACCGUUAUAACCGGCGAUUUCCGAAUGGGGAAACCCAGUGUGAUUCGUCACACUAUCAUUAACUGAAUCCAUAGGUUAAUGAGGCAAACCGGGGGAACUGAAACAUCUAAGUACCCCGAGGAAAAGAAAUCAACCGAGAUUCCCCCAGUAGCGGCGAGCGAACGGGGAGCAGCCCAGAGCCUGAAUCAGUGUGUGUGUUAGUGGAAGCGUCUGGAAAGGCGCGCGAUACAGGGUGACAGCCCCGUACACAAAAAUGCACAUACUGUGAGCUCGAUGAGUAGGGCGGGACACGUGGUAUCCUGUCUGAAUAUGGGGGGACCAUCCUCCAAGGCUAAAUACUCCUGACUGACCGAUAGUGAACCAGUACCGUGAGGGAAAGGCGAAAAGAACCCCGGCGAGGGGAGUGAAAAAGAACCUGAAACCGUGUACGUACAAGCAGUGGGAGCACGCUUAGGCGUGUGACUGCGUACCUUUUGAUAAUGGGUCAGCGACUUAUAUUCUGUAGCAAGGUUAACCGAAUAGGGGAGCCGAAGGGAAACCGAGUCUUAACUGGGCGUUAAGUUGCAGGGUAUAGACCCGAAACCCGGUGAUCUAGCCAUGGGCAGGUUGAAGGUUGGGUAACACUAACUGGAGGACCGAACCGACUAAUGUUGAAAAAUUAGCGGAUGACUUGUGGCUGGGGGUGAAAGGCCAAUCAAACCGGGAGAUAGCUGGUUCUCCCCGAAAGCUAUUUAGGUAGCGCCUCGUGAAUUCAUCUCCGGGGGUAGAGCACUGUUUCGGCAAGGGGGUCAUCCCGACUUACCAACCCGAUGCAAACUGCGAAUACCGGAGAAUGUUAUCACGGGAGACACACGGCGGGUGCUAACGUCCGUCGUGAAGAGGGAAACAACCCAGACCGCCAGCUAAGGUCCCAAAGUCAUGGUUAAGUGGGAAACGAUGUGGGAAGGCCCAGACAGCCAGGAUGUUGGCUUAGAAGCAGCCAUCAUUUAAAGAAAGCGUAAUAGCUCACUGGUCGAGUCGGCCUGCGCGGAAGAUGUAACGGGGCUAAACCAUGCACCGAAGCUGCGGCAGCGACGCUGAUGCGUUGUUGGGUAGGGGAGCGUUCUGUAAGCCUGCGAAGGUGUGCUGUGAGGCAUGCUGGAGGUAUCAGAAGUGCGAAUGCUGACAUAAGUAACGAUAAAGCGGGUGAAAAGCCCGCUCGCCGGAAGACCAAGGGUUCCUGUCCAACGUUAAUCGGGCAGGGUGAGUCGACCCUAAGGCGAGGCCGAAAGGCGUAGUCGAUGG